rnacentral:rRNA from 1 species
CCUACGGGAGGCAGCAGUGAGGAAUAUUGGUCAAUGGGCGGAAGCCUGAACCAGCCAAGUCGCGUGAGGGAUUAAGGCCCUGCGGGUCGUAAACCUCUUUUGCCGGGGAGCAGAGGUCCGGACGUGUCCGGGCCGGGAGAGUACCCGGAGAAAAAGCAUCGGCUAACUCCGUGCCAGCAGCCGCGGUAAUACGGAGGAUGCGAGCGUUAUCCGGAUUUAUUGGGUGUAAAGGGUGCGUAGGAGGGCAUUUAAGCCGGCGGUCAAAUGUCGGGGCUCAACCCCGGCCUGCCGUCGGAACUGGGUGCCUUGAGUGGGCGAGAAGUAUGCGGAAUGCGUGGUGUAGAGGUGAAAUGCAUAGAUAUCACGCAGAACCCCGAUUGCGAAGGCAGCAUACCGGCGCCCUACUGACGCUGAGGCACGAAAGUGCGGGUAUCGAACAGGAUUAGAUACCCCAGUAGUC